GUGUUUUUGCAGAUGAACAGGUUGACAGAAGUCCCACUGGCUCAGGAGUGACAGCCCGAAUUGCCUUACAGUAUCACAAAGGGCUUCUGGAACUGAACCAGACGAGAGCCUUCAAAAGCAGUGCAACUGGCUCAGUAUUCACAGGGAAAGCUGUGAGGGAGCUGUUAUGAGAAGAAUCUGGGACUGCAGUGUCCCCCCAAAUAGAGAGGGAGCCGAGAGACCAAAGAAUGACUCAGACAAGUCCAGGAAGCGAAAUGUGGUGAUUUUAAAGCUGUUAUAGUGGAAGUAUCAGGACAAGCCCAUUACACGGGUACAGCAAGCUUUAUAGUAGAAGAUGACGACCCACUGAGAGAUGGAUUUCUUCUCAAGUGACUUCUUCCAUGAUUUCAAGGGCUUUCUUUUUAAAGUAAUCAUUAUCCUUAAGGACUGUUUUCUCUAAAUUAUAUGAAAACAAAUAAAUUAUACAUAUAAACUAA
rnacentral:sRNA from 1 species